UGGCUGUAGUUUUUAAUAUGCCACUGCUAUGCUACUAAGGGUUUAUGUAUAACCCUUUUGCUGAUUUUUAAAGUGUCACAACAAGAGAACAGGUGAA